AUAGCGUAUAUUAAAGUUGUUGCCGUUAAAAAGCUCGUAGUCGAACUUCGGUCCCUGUUGGUCGGUCCGCCUUCUUGGUGUGUACUUACUCAAUGGGGACUUACCUCCUGGUGAGCUGCGAUGUCCUUUACUGGAUGUCGUAGGGAACCAGGACGUUUACUUUGAAAAAAUUAGAGUGUUCAAAGCAGGCCUACGCCCGAAUACAUUAGCAUGGAAUAAUAGAAUAGGACGCGCGUUCCCAUUUUGUUGGUUUCUGAGAUCGCCGUAAUGAUUAAUAGGGAUAGUUGGGGGCAUUGGUAUUGAGUCGCUAGAGGUGAAAUUCUUGGAUUGACUCAAGACCGACUAUUG
rnacentral:rRNA from 1 species